GGAGUCUUCUCUUCUCAUGAGGUGGCCAAAGUAUUGGAGCCUCAGCUUCAGGAUCUGUCCUUCCAGUGAGCACUCAGGGCUGAUUUCCUUCAGAAUGGAGAGGUUUGAUCUUCUUGCAGUCCAUGGGACUCUCAAGAGUCUCCUCCAGCACCAUAAUUCAAAAGCAUAGCUUUUACUAUACGGACCUUUGUUGGCAAGGUGAUGUCUCUACUUUUUAAGAUGCUGUCUAUGUUAUGUUAGUUCAGGCAUAAGAACUCUGUGGCCGCAGGUUCCUCCCCUCCUAUGUUAUUAUUCACUGAUUCGCGGAGAGAGGGAGAUGGACACAUGGAUAGAUAUUUAUUUUAGUUCAUUAGUUAUUUCAUUAAAUUUAUACAGCGCUUUGAAGGAGGUUCUUUUUUAAAAAAUAGAGUCAAACAAUAAAAAUUUCAGUAAAAACUAAUAAUUUCAAAGAGAAAACUGGCAAUAAACUCAAAACAAAUUCAAACACACGCCAACAUUCUGCUUGCCUGGGUAGGCUUGCUUAAACAAAAAAUGUUUUUUCCACAGUGCAGGACUAGCUUGUAAAACGCUCAUUAUAUAUUUACUGGAUGUAGCUAGAUUGACAAUCACCCAAGGAUGGAGAAAUCUGCUGGGCUUCUCUUCCCUUCAUGUUCAGUUUCAGAAGGCUCUGCAUAUUCACAAUUUCAGAAAAGUUGAGUCAUUCAAAGCAUGUUUCACAAGGCACAACCAAGCCAAUGGACUAUGGUAUCACAGGGUAGAUUUAUUUGUUUGUUUGUUUAAUGAUAUUUAUACAUCACCUGAGGGACACGGGUGGCUCUGUGGGUUAAACCACAGAGCCUAGGGCUUGCCGAUCAGAAGGUCGGCAGUUCGAAUCCCUGCGAUGGGGUGAGUUCCCAUUGCUCGGUCCCUGCUCCUGCCAACCUAGCAGUUUGAAAGCACUUCAAAGUGCAAGUAGAUAAAUAGGUACCACUCCGGCGGGAAGGUAAACGGCGUUUCCGUGCGCUGCUCUGGUUCGCCAGAAGUGGCUUAGUCAUACUGGCCACAUGACCCGGAAGCUGUACGCUGGCUCCCUCGGCCAAUAAAGCGAGAUGAGUGCCACAACCCCAGAGUCGGUCAUGACUGGACCUAAUGGUCAGGGGUCCCUUUACCUUUAUACACCAACUGAUUGUAAAAAAUGGAGAGAGAGAAAUCCUUCACUGCAGCUUAAAGAGAAUACGACAAUAACAUAAGGCAUUAUGUCCACUGAAAUCCAAAAAAACUUUAGAACCAUCUUUAUGUAUGCAACCAUGGCGGCCAGAAUUCUGGUAGCAAAAAAUUGGAAAGAUGACUUAAUUUGUACAAAGCUUGACUGGCAGGUGAAGAUCAUAGAAUAGCUGGAACUUGCGAAAAUGACUGGGAGAAUAAGAGGAAACUCAAAUCAGAAAGUGAGCAAAGAAUGGACAAUAUUUAAAGAAUAUUUAAAACAGUAUUGCGAAAAUGCAAAUCUGCUGACAGGUGUAGAUUGGAUCUUGAAUAUUAAAAUUAUAAACGUAAAAAAAAUAUCUGGAUAUGUAAUAGAUAUAACAGGAAGUGCGUGUAGAUUAAGAAUAUUCAGAAAGCACAAUGAGGUGAUUCGGAAGUCAAAAAUAUGUGUAGAUGAUGUGUAGUCAAUUAAUGUUUAGUUGUCAUUGUGGUAUUGUUUUUGUCUGUUUGUGCUGUAUGUUUUGCAAUAAAGAUAAUAAUAAAAAAUAAGGAGAAUAGAACAAUAAAAUCAGCAAUUAAAAUAGUUCAAAGAAACUAUUUAAAAGGUUCAGCAAAAAAAUCAAAAUCAGCAAUAAACUAAAGCAUAUUAAAGCACACAUCAACAUUUUACAUUUCCAUUUAGACUUGCCUAUACAAAAAUGUUUUCAGUCCAGUGAAGUCCAGUGAAGGCACCCAUCUGAUGUCAAAAGGAAGGCUGUCCCAAAGCCAAGGUACUGCAACACACCAGUGUUGCAUUUUUCUACACAUUACUUGGCUGGAGGACUGCAUGGCGAAAUUCAGAGAAGUGUGAACCCAGUCGGAUGAGCGGGGUACAAAUUUUUAAAUAUAUCAUUAUUAUUGAAGGAUGGCUGGGUUUCGGUUCAUGUAAUGUUUUGAAAAAGUUCAAUUCUGCCUUUUAUCAUAUGUGGCAGACCUGUAAGGCAAUAAAAACAUAUUGGGAGAUGAGAUAUAAUGAGCUUAAAAAAAAUGUUCAAAACAACUUUUGUAAAGAAACCAGAAGCCUUUUUAUUAGGAAUCACAGGUGCUGAGAUACCAAGGGAGCACAAAAGACUAUCAUGUAGGCAGCCAGGAUACUCUUAGACCAAAGAUGGAAGGACGAUACAAUACCUACAAGAGAAGAGUGGACGGUAAAACGGAUGGACUAUGCUGAGAUGGCCAAAAUGACUGGAAGAACCAGGAAUCAGGACAAUAAAAACUUCAGCAAAGACUGGGGGGGAAUUGUAGUAUAUUUGACAGAACUCUGUAAAUGGUUGAAAACAUUAGCAGGAUUGAAAUAACGCUAUAAAAAGAAUUAUAGGAGAAAAUAGAGAUUUAUGGAUAAAUGGAGGAUAACAGGAUAUGCAGUGAACAUGAUUAUCAUCGGACCCCACAAAAGGGAGAAUGAAAGUCUGAGAAUCCGGAGAAUUCUAUAUUUUUGGAUUGUAUUUUUCUUUGUUUGUGAAUGUAAAACUAAAUUGCAAAACCAAUAAAAAUUAUUAUAAGAAAAGUGCAAAUCUGGUGGAUUUCCCUUUCAAUGUGACUGGAAUAAAAUUUCUUCCCAUCCCCCUCUCAGCCUGCUGUUGCCUUCGCCAAAGUAGAACGCUCUGAAUGGGCAGCUGUAUUUCUAUCCAAUCAGAAUUAAUACCGCGUUCCUUCGCUGUACUUGAUUUUCUCAUUGGUCCGCUGCAGCCAAUGGGAGAGCUCGCUGCACAUUAUAGCAGGUUUUAGACCUGUAGAGCUCUGAGGUUUUGGAGCCGAAGUACUAAGGCGCUACUCUUGGAAGGUGUGUCGCUUGGGAUCAAGCGGGACUCAGACAGUGUGACUCCUACGAUGACAGCUCCUGGCAACUCUCGAUUUAGAUAUUAAGAGCUAAUCUAAGCGUUUGGCUUCCUCCCUGCCCCUUUCUCCUCCGCCUGGAGGCUGAUCCCAGCUUGUCCGUUCUCCAAGGUGGAAAUAAUGAUUCACCCAGACUUUAAGUUGACCUAUUGAGAAACGAUGGAGGGAUCGACACGCUUGCCAAGAAAGAUAUUUGAGGCCCUCGCUGCAGGGUUGACGUUAUUCCAAGUCGGAGCAUAGCGUGGUAAACCGAACCACUCUUUCCAGUUAUCUUGGCACUGAAUCUAUCGGGCUUCAUCUGCUGUGUUUACUAUUAUGUUGGGCACAGCUACCCAUGUUGCCAGGCGGUGUUCAGCGCACCCGCGAUAGAAAAAAGCUUUGUAAAAAAAGAGAGCGGCAAGGUCCUCAGUGAAGUGCAAACACUGGUUUUAACUCUGUUCCCUUUUUAACCCGUCCUCUCUCAGAAGAUCCAAGCCGGUUUAUAAUUCAGAUCAAGUUUUCCUCGUCCUCUUCUUCCUCCUUCCUGAAUUUACUCUGCCCAAAUGUUCAAAGGGCCCCACCAGUGACAAACACGCCAGCAAUUAAAAGAGCUUCUAUCAGAAACCAAAGGCACUGAGUGCAUUUGAGAUUAUAUGUUCCGAGAUGAAGCAUACCAUUCCUUAUUUGCUUUGAGCUGAAAGUUAUCUAUCUUCGUUAUUUCUUGAGAAUGUUCUCAUUAGAAGAGUUUCAUAAUAUCAUGGCUAGCAUUUAAAUCAGCAUCCCUUCUGACUCUGUUCACAUUUUGCAUAUUUGAGUAUUUAAUAAUGAGGUUGCUGCUUUCAUAGCAAAGUUCGUGCGUGGAUAUAGAUCAGCCUUUGCCAAGCUGGUGCCCCCCAGAUGUUCUGGGUGACCAUUCCUACCAGCUCCAGACAGUGCUUCUUAUGUAAAAUAAAUGCUUAAAAAUGCAAUGACCAAUAACUUUGUCUGCAGCCUCUACAUAAAAUAAGUAACGUAUUUUUCGCUCUAUAAGAUGCACCCGACCAUAAGACGCACCUAGUUUUUAGAGGAGGAAAACAAGAAAAGCCAGCAAUAGCCGCAGAUACGCUCACUCAGUGCAGCUCUUUAAAGCUAGAGCGGCUCUUGCUGGCUUUUCCAGGAAAUGGGAGAAGGGACUGACGGGCUGCUCUCCGUCCCUUCUCCCACCUCCCUGAAAAGCCAGAGCAAGCUGCGCUCCUCUGCUGAACCCAGCAGAGCAAGAGUGAGAGCUGUGCAGCGCCUCUUGCUCUGCUGGCUUCCCAGCGAAGCAGGAUGAGGGACAGAAGGGGCUCCAUAAGGGUCCCUUUUCUCGUCUCCCUUUUCUCUGCUACGAUAAGUGCGAAGUGUUUUGGAAGGGGUUCCAUGCAGGUCUACCUAUUUGUACUUCCUGAAACAAUCCUGCUGCCCUGGGCUGCUUUGGGAGAAAGGACAGAGCAGAAAGUUAACAAAUUAAUUAAAUAAAAUUAAAUAUUUGACGUGAAACACAGCCAUCCUUUGGGGCGGGGAGGGAACCUUCACAAUUUGCAUUUCUCAGGAUUUUGCAGCGCAGUUCAGCAGCCGAGUAAUAUGUGCAAAAAAUCAUGCGCUGGAGCGAAUUGUAUGUAAACAUACAUAUAUGAGCAAAAAUAUACAACAAUGCACUUAAUUGGAGGAAAUUGCUUUACAAAAACAUACAUACAUGAUUUUUUUGUUUGAAAAAAAAACAUGCAUGCAUUUCUUACUAUAUAAUUCAAUUAUAAGCCAGCAUCACUCUGUCUUCCAAAGUAUUUGCCUUUACGCAUCCAGUUCCUCUUGUUUCUGCUGUGAGAGACAACUGUCAGUCAGUAUUCUUUGCCUAUUGGGCAAACUGAGUCUGGGAAAACUAAUGGAUUGUAGCUCAUGUUUAGCACUCAUCGUUGAGCUGGGGGGGGAGGGAACUCCCCUCCCUUAAAAUACUUUUAGCUACAGGUUUUAUUUUUAUUGAAUUUCUGCAAAACUUAGGGUUCCCCUGAAUCUGCUGAUUGCUCCCUCUUGUGCAUGGGAUUGCUGCUUGGGCUAAAAAAGGAAAGACACUCACAUCCUGGAGACUGGAAAUAGGAGGAAUGAUAUAAUCGUUGGCCAAUGUUAGAACAGCAACUUUGCACCAGGCAUCUUGCAAAACUCCGCUCGGGUCACCCCGCAAUUGAUACUUGCCUACAGAGUCUGGAUUUGCAUCAAAAUAUCCCAGGAUGUGCCCUUUGCCCAUUGGGGGGAUUUGGGCUUGGGGAUCCGGGCAGCCUCACUUCCGCUCCACGUUCUGCAGCUGGAGAUGACGGCUGCAGAGUCAUUGCCCUUCACCAUUCCAAAUGUUAGCCUCAGAGGUUGACGCCUCUCCCUUGGCAACCGGACCACAACAGAGAUUCGCUUUCAGUUGCCCCCACUUUCUCUAGACCUCCUCCUUCAGGGCGGAAGGUACACACAGAGGGGGGAGGGUGCUAUUCUAUUUAAGGUGUGUUGUCGUCAGGCCGUGUGAAUGUACAGUGGUGCCUCGCAAGACGAAAUUAAUCCGUUCCGCGAGUAUCUUCGUCUAGCGGUUUUUUCGUCUUGCGAAGCAACCCUAUUAGCGGCUUAGCGGAUUAGCGCUAUUAGCAGUUUAGCGGCUAUUAAGGGCUUAGCGGCUUAGCGGCUUAGCUGCUAAAAGGCUAUUAAAGGUUUAGCAGCUUAGAAAAAGGGGGGGGAGCGGAAAAAAAUCUCAAGACUCGCAAGACAUUUUCGUCUUGCGAAGCAAGCCCAUAGGGAAAUUCGUCCUGCGAAGCGCAUUGAAAAAUGGAAGACCCUUUCAUCUAGCGGGUUUUCCGUCUUGCGAGGCAUUCGUCUUGCGGGGCACCACCGUAUCUGGAGAAUGAGCGAUGGCCGGGCACAUUUGAGAUGGCUAAAAAUCAGGCUGCUCCCAUUUCAACUCUGGUCUCUUUGAAGGAGGGGUCCGGAUCAAGUCUGCAAGAUCACUCUGUGUGUGUGUGUGUGUGUGUGUGUGUGUGUGUGUGUGUGUAAAAGGGCCUUCUAUAUUCCUUGUGUCAGAGGUGGGAUUUCUUCUUCUCUGAGAGAGACCUAGACAAAGUAUUUCCCCACUGCUGUGCUAGGCAGAGUCUGACCCUCUCCAGUGUGUGUGUUGUGUUGACUUUGAUGAAAACCACUCGCUGCUGCCUAGAUGAUCUGCUCCAGUCAGCCGAGGUGGUUUUCCUCCUUUUUAAAAAAUAAAAUGAAAUAAAUUUCAUUGGUUUUACAUAAGUUUUGACACAAUAAAUGUAACCGUUCCAAAACAUAGAAAUAAAAAGGUUAUUUCGAACCUACAGACCUUCUCCCCUCCCUCCAUGCGUUCCAUUUCCAAAGAUUUUUUUUUCUUUUUUCUGCAUCAUUUACCGUUAUCCAUCUGUUAUAUAAUCAUCGUAACCAAAAUUCGUUUCACGUUACAAGUGUCAUUGUAUCCCUGCCAAUGAUUUUAACUACAGGUAGGUAGCCGUGUUGGUCUGCCAUAGUCGAAACAAAAUUUAAAAAAUCCUUCCAGUAGUACCUUAGAGACCAGCUAAGUUUGUUAUUAAAGGGACGCGGGUGGCGCUGUGGGUUAAACCACAGAGCCUAGGACUUGCCGAUCAGAAGGUCGGCAGUUCGAAUCCCCGCGACGGGGUGAGCUCCCGUUGCUCUGUCCCUGCUCCUGCCAACCUAGCAUUUCAAAAGCACGUCAAAGUGCAAGUAGAUAAAUAGGUACCGCUCUGGCGGGAAGGUAAACGGCGUUUCCGUGCGCUGCUCUGGUUCGCCAGAAGCGGCUUAUCGAUUUUCCAAUAAAAACCAUGCAAUUAAUAUAUCCAAUCAUAAUACUCCAAUUAAAAUAAAAAACUAAAAUAAAAAAACCAAAUUAUAGUCCAAAUUAUAAUUGUUAAUUUUUCGGAGCUCUCCAAGGUCUGGAUCUCUAAAGCAUAUCUCCACAUCUCAGUCCUGCCUCUCCUUGUUUUUUCCAUAUUUUCCACAUCUCGAUUUUGACGCUUUAUAAUUCUCCGUCCCUGAGUUCACGAUUCUCAAUCAUGUCAAACAUCAUAUACUUUCAUCUGUCGAGUACAGCUUUAUUAGUAUAUAUUUUCCCAACUGCCUUUUUUAUCAGCGCAGCUUCCUCUGACUCCAUUCCAAUCCAGCAUGUUGUCAAAGUCUGUUACCUGAAGUUUAAUGGCGCAGCAACUCCCAAUCAUUAAUUGUCCAAACCUUCCUUUAGAGUUUUAUUGAACCAGUACCUUCCAAGCUGGGACGCGGGUGGAGCUGUGGGUUAAAUCACAGAGCUUGUUGAUCAGAAGGUCGGCAGUUCAAAUCCCCGAGGCGUGAUGAGCUCCCGUUGCUCGGUCCCUGCUCCUGCCAACCUAACAGUUCGAAAGCACGUCAAAGUGCAAGUAGAUAAAUAGGUACCACUGCAGCGAGAAGGUAAAUGGCAUUUCCGUGCGCUGCUCUGGUUCACCAGAAGCGGCUUAGUCAUGCUGGCCACAUGACCCGGAAGCUGUGCGCAGGCUCCCUCGGCCAGUAAAGCGAGAUGAGCGCCGCAACCCCAGAGUCGGCCACGACUGGACCUAAUGGUCAGGGGUCCCUUUACCUUUACUUACUUUCCAAGUUAAAUUGUUAGGCAAAGCUGUUUGCAAUAUUACAAUGUAGAUAAACUGUAUUCCACAAAUAUCAGACCUUUGGUGAUCAACUAGCCUUUGGAGACCGCACCCUCCCCCCUCUGGACCCCAGAGGGGGAGCUGAUAGACACCAUUUAGCCUUCUCUCUUGCUCAUAGUGAAAAUGAAUGACUUCUGCAAACAGCUGCACUGUGUAAUGUUCCAAGUUGUUAUUCAAAUCAUUGCAGAAAUCAGCCAGCAUGUAACUCCUGCUUCAGAAGGGAGUUCUGGUUUAGCCAUCCAUACUGUAGCUAGAAAGGGACGCGGGUGGCGCUGUGGUCCAAACCACAGAGCCUAGGACUUGCCGAUCAGAAGGUCGGCGGUUCGAAUCCCCACGACAGGGUGAGCACCCGUUGCACGGUCCCUGCUCCUGCCAACCUAGCAGUUCGAAAGCACGUCAAAGUGGAAGUAGAUAAAUAGGUACCGCUCCAGCGGGAAGGUAAACGGCGUUUCCGUGCGCUGCUCUGGUUCGCCAGAAGCGGCUUAGUCAUGCUGGCCACAUGACCCGGAAGCUGUACGCCGGCUCCCUCGGCCAGUAAAGCGAGAUGAGCGCCGCAACCCCAGAAUCGGCCAAGACUGGACCUAAUGGUCAGGGGUCCCUUUACCUUUACUGUAGCUAGAGACUUUCCACCCCUACUGUGGCCGGAGGCUAUUCAUGCCUACAGCAGCUCUUCAUUGGCCUGCCUCUCAUCUCAUCCUUGUGUUCAUGGAGGGAAUCAUGCAAUAUCCGCUGGCGGGUGGUACAUCUGCCGGUUUGGACAGAGGAAGGGAUUUGCCCGUGGCUCUUUCGGAAACGAACCCUACUCUAUCCCCAGUGUCGCUGUCUGCAGCUGUGGCUGACAUUUCCUGAUACGGCUCUUCUGAUAAUUAAGAUCGGUCUUGACCUUGCGCUUUGUGCAAAGCCUCAACCGGAUCUCUCUCUCUCCUCCUCUCCUUUAGAAGGAGCACUCAGCUCUAAUGAAGGCUACAAACACCCUCCAGCUUCCUGCCUGAUUUGUGACCUUAGCAGGUGUCCACUGAGGACUGGCCACUUGUUAAUUUUAAUUGAUUGUCAUGAUUUACAUCUGAGCGGGGCCUCGCUUUCGCGCACCUCCAGGGUCAAGGAGCGUUAUUCCGAAAACCAGGAGACUUCGCGUUUCCAACGCAGCCUAGCUGGCAAAUGAAUGGCAAUAAAUAAUAAUUCCAUCUGGGAGAGCAAAGGCAGACGGUUGAGAAAUGAAUUCAUUCAUUAGCCAUGAUUGCGUCGCUGGAGGAAGGAGGGGUGGAGGAAAAUCUGGGAGACGGGACUGAGGAAAUGUAAGCUUAAACUUUUGCUCUUUUUCUCAAGAAACAUCCAUAUAGGAAUACAGGGUGCCGGCUUACAGUGAGUCAAAAUGUUGGUCCAUUUAGUUCAGUGAUGUCUGCACUGCACAUUCCCAACCCUACCUGCAGAGGCUGGGGAACAGAGACCUUCUGCCAGCAAAGCAGUUAUACUGUGAUGGCCUGGGACUCAGGUUUGGGCUCAAAACCAGAGGAGUCUCAGUCCGCACCGGAUCCUUUGCCUCAGGCAGCAUCUGAACCUAGUCUGGGGCCUGAUUCUGAAGAGCCCCAGUCUGCACAGGUUCCCCUGCAGCAAACACCAGCUGGGCCAAGUCAGGGGCCUGAGCCUGCCCUGGCUCCAGAUGCUGGGAUGACCUCGUUGCCUCCAGCUGGACCAUCACUUACAGCUGCUCCACUACCGGUUGGGUCAGGGGAGGCUGAGGCAGCCCCUGGGUCUAGUAACCCACCGAUGUCUCCCGAGCUGCAGAGACUAAGGUCUGAGAGAAGGAGAGACCUGAAUACUCGCAGGAGGAGUGCUCGCCUUCGGGCGAGACAGGGAGGUGAGUCACCAGGGGAUCAGGACUGGCCGUUACCCCGACAAAGAUAAAUGGCUGUCGGACCCCGCCCCAGGUUGUGAGAGUAACAUUGCUGUUUGCUAGUAGCUGCCUGAGACCCUGUGCCGGUCCUUGCCUGGUUUCCUGCCCGGUGUCCUGCCUUGGCCCUGUCGGACUGACUCCUAGCAGAAAGUUUGGAUUCUGGACCGGACCUGGACUGCGUUGCUCGGGUUAACCCCCGGGCCCAGCACAUACAAGCUUUUGAAAUAAAUAUAAGCAGCAGGACUAUAAGUCCGGAAACACGUUAGCAGAAACCUGUGAACUUAACAGAGAGGAUACUUCUAGCUGACAUUUCUGGGCUGGCUUCCACAAGGGCCACAGUCUCCAUGUUGAGAAGUUACCUAUCAGCUCUUUGAAGGGUCAGGGAUUUGGGUAACUGGGUUGUGGAAUGGAGGGGAGGGUGUUGUCCGUCUGAGGGGGCCAGAAAUGGGCUCAAAGUCCAAACCAGGCAGCAGCUGAGUCCCAGGACUGCAAACAAGGAUGGGAGAGGUCAGAAUCGGGCUAUUCAAAGCAGGGCGGGGGAUCAAGAGGAGAGAGAAAAUCAGUCUUUGCACAUUCCAACACAGACUUGCAUCUCCCAGACUAUCACGUGGAUCCGAACACAGAUAUCUGCUUCUGUUUGCAGUUUGAAAAUGUGCCGACGCGAGUUCUCAGCUCAAAAAACAGAUCGACGUGGAACUCUCUCUACACCAAGGGAGGAGGCCAGAGCCAAUGAGAGGAGGCAGUCGCUGGUAUUGUUAUUAUAUGAACAAUAUUAUAUAUUUAUUUAUACCCCAGGGCCCAGAAGUCUGGAAGAAGAGCCCUGGUGGGGCCUGACCAGCUUGCCUAUGUUUUGUGCAAUUCUUAACAAAAUAUAUAUUUUGUGUUCAAUGCAUGCACGAUUCUGAAUGGCGGCGUUUGAAUUUAUGCUGCAAACAGAGCAUUUCCGACUCUAUACGAACAUUCGCUUUUGCACUUUGACGGCGUGACAGCGCAGCCCUCGUUUUCUUACGUGCAUUUGAACUUUUCCCACGAGUGAAACACCGUGUGGAUGCAACAAAGCUGUUGCGCGAUGCAUGUUGCGUUGUGCUACGCACACGAGUUGAGCAUGUCUGGUUAGUUUGGCAAGAGUUGUGAGGACGUUUAUACUAUUGAUAUUACUCAGUAGAAUCUUAAUAUUCUCAGGCUGAGGUCGAGGGGGAACCCCUGUGGGGCAGCCUCUACUGCCCCCCACCCCCAGCAGAAAUCUGUAAAUGUAAAUUGAAAACUUGUUUCAUCUUUUGGAUCAAAUGGAGCGCUGGCUACCCUGUAAUAAUCAGGCACAAUUUAAAGUGCUGGCAUUGAGAUAGACAUCCCUACACAGCUUAGGUCCAAGCUAUUUGAAAGACUGUAUCCCCUCAUAUGCACCUGCCUGGGUUUUGAGAUCUUAAGGGGAGGCCCUUCUUUCAGUCCCAACCCAACCCCCCCACCGGCAUGCUUGGUGGGGACACUUGAGAGGGCCUUCUUGGUGGUGGCUUCUCCCAGACUUUGGAAUUCCCUCCCUAGAGAAGCUAGACUGGCUCCCUCUUUGUGGUCCUUCCCCUGGCAGUUGAAGGCUUUCUUGCUUCAACAGGCUGCUUUUAAUGAAAAGGCUGGUGCUGUGCUGUUUUUUAUUAUCUGAUUUUAAUUAUAUUAAUGUUUAAUUUAUUUUUAAUGAUUUUAGUGAUGGGGGGGCAUGAUUUUAGCUCACGUCCCUGCCAGGAAAAAUGUCAGGGAAGAAGAAGAAGAAGAAGAAGAAGAAGAAGAAGAAGAAGAAGAAGAAGAAGAAGAAGAAGAAAAAGAAGAAGAAGAAGAAUGCUCUGCUUCUGCUUCUGUUGGUGUGAGACAGCUUGGGAGGAUUUGAAAUGUUUUCAACGAUGGAUAUUUGUGCUGCUACUUUAUUUCAUUUUCAUUUUCAUUUUUGUUUUAUAUAACUGUGUUUUGGCUUUCUGUGCUCCUUUUGGAGGUCACAAGGGUAAGGCUCCUUUCAGAGCUGGCAUGGAAGAAGGAGGGAGGGAAGGGGCAGAACAGAGAGGGAAACAGCAAAUUGAUUUAUUUAUUACAUUUAUAUCUCACCUUUCCUCUUAGAAGCUCAAGAUGAUGCACAUGAUUCUUUCUCUCCCCCCCCCCAUUUAAUCCCCACAACAAUCCUGAAAUCUAGGUUUGGCUGCGAGGCAGUGACUGGCCCAAGGCCACCUAGUGAGCUUUAUGGCUGAGUGGGGCUGUCAGCCCUGUGUGGGAUCACCAGCCUCAUAUAAGCAACAUGCUUAAGUCCAUUUAAUGCAUGAAGGGGUUAAGACCAUAGAGUAAGCUGUCCUGCCAGGCUUAGCUGACUUUGGGAGAGACUAAGGCAUCCAUUAGGGAUGUGGGUGGCGCUGUGGGUUAAACCACAGAGCCUAGGACUUGCCGAUCAGAAGGUUGGCGGUUCAAAUCUCCGCGACGGGGUGAGCUCCGGUUGCUCGGUCCCUGCUCCUGCCAACCUAGCAGUUCAAAAGCACGUCAAAGUGCAAGUAGAUAAAUAGGUACAGCUCCGGCGGGAAGGUAAACGGCAUUUCCGUGCGCUGCUCUGGUUCGCCAGAAGCGGCUUAGUCAUGCUGGCCACAUGACCCAGAACAUGACACCAGCUCCCUCGGCCAAUAAAGCGAGAUGAGCGCCGCAACCCCAGAGUCGGUCAUGACUGGACUAAUGAUCAGGGGUCCCUUUACCUUUAAGUCACCCAUUUGUUCCCCUCAGUCUACCUGAGAGGCUCCACGUGUGGAGAGAGAGAGAGAGAGAGAGAGAGAGAGAGAGAAAGGGGGGAAGAGAAAGAGAGAGAGAAUCAGGUACACAAAUACAAUACUGGGCUUGGGCAGCUAGGCUCUCAAUGCAGGGAUUUAUGGAAUAAAUGGGCAACCACUAAUCCUUUUGUCUAAAAGCACUAGGCAACCAAUGUUCCCAGUAAAGGGUGCUUCCUCCUUCAUUCAGAUAAUCUAUCAAAGCAGCAACCCCUCCAUAAAACCCAGGCACACGUCUUGCUAUUCACAGCCUCCCCGAGCAGACGUCCUCCCUUGCAAAUAUUCUGCCGCUGCAAUUAAAGGAACAUCUGGCCUUUGAAGGAAAACGUUGCACUCGCAAAGACCUCUCCUCCCUUCUGUUAUCUGCAUACCAUUCAUAGCGCCCAAGUCCUUGGACCGUUGUGCAGAAGCCAGAAGGCGUACGCAACAACAACGCAUCCUGCGCUCUGCAGAGGAGGAGAACCACUGCUUCAAAACCACAACGCAAAACGGAGCUGGGUCAAACUGAGCUGUGGACCUUCCUUCCUCAGCUUUAAGUCAAUGGUUUUAAGGGCCUUGCUGGAUUAGACCAAAGAUCUACCUAGCACCCCGAGCCCAGUUGUAAGGAAUUCUCAUCGUAGCAAAGAGGCGGACCUCCAUGAUAGUAACAUCUGCUAUGCAUGCAGAAGGGCCAAGCUGCAAUUUCUUGCAUCUCCAGGCAGGAUGCAUCCCUGGAGAGCUACUGCCAGUCAGUGUAGAUCGGGCUUCCUCAACCUCGGCCCUCCAGACGUUUUUGGCCUACAACUGCCAUGAUCCCUAGCUAGCAGGACCAGGGGUCAUGGAUGAUGGGAAUUGUAGUCUCAAAACAUCUGGAGGGCCGAGGUUGAGGAAGCCUGGUGUAGAGAAUACUGAGCUACAUGGAUCAGAUUUUUGAGUCAGUGUAAGUCAGGGAUGCGGGUGGCACUGUGGGUUAAACCACAGAGCCUAGGGCUUGCCGAUCAGAAGGUCGGCCGUUCGAAUCCCCACAACGGGGUGAGCUCCCAUUGCUCGGUCCCUGCUCCUGCCAACCUAGCAGUUUGAAAGCACGUCAAAGUGCAAGUAGAUAAAUAGGUACCGCUCCGGCAGGAAGGUAAACGGUGUUUCCAUGCACUGCUCUGGUUCGCCAGAAGCAGCUUAGUCAUGCUGGCCACAUGACUCAGAAGCUGUCUGCGGACAAACGCCAGCUCCCUCGGCCAGUAAAGCGAGAUGAGUGCUGCAACCCCAGAGUCAUCCGCAACUGGACCUAAUAGUCAGGGGUCCCUUUACCUUUAAGGCAGCUGUCAAGGACUGGCAAGUGUGCAUGGGGAGAAAGGGGUUUGAGUCUGACUUGGGAGAGGGGAGCAGUGAUUUGUAGGGAACUGUCCCAGCCAGGAGGCAAGAAUCGGAAUCAGGGGAAGCUUCAGAGCUGGAGGGUGGAGCACAGGAUGGGGGGAAGAAGAGAUUAGGCAAGGUCAGACUGAAGAGUGGUGCUGUGGUCUAAACCACUGAGCCUCUUGGGCUUGCCGAUCGGAAGGUCGGUGGUUUGAAUCCCCAUGAUGGGGUGAGCUCCUGUUGCUCUAUCCCAGCUGCUGCCAACCUAGCAGUUCCAAAACAUGUCAAGUAGAUAAAUAGGUACCACUGCGUUGGGAAGGUAAACGGCAUUUCCGUGCACUGCUCUGGUUCGCCAGAAGCGGCUUAGUCAUGCUGGCCACAUGCCCAGAAGCUGUACCCCAGCUCCCUCAGCCAAUAAAGCGAGAUCAGCGCCGCAACCCCAGAGUUGGCCACGGCUGGACCUAAUGGUCAGGGGUCCCCAAACAUCACCCUCAGGAAAGAAUCAUCCACGUAGAACCAGAACCACCCCAAAGUGGUUCCACCCACCCCUACCUUGGUCAGCUGCUCCAGAAGGAUGCCAUGGUUGAUGGUAUCGAAAGCCGCCAAGAGGUCGAGGAGAGUGAACAGGGACACAUUUCCCCUGUCUCUCUCCCAACAGAGGUCAUUAUGAAGGGCGACCAAAGCAGUUUCUGGGCCUAAACUGGGCCUAAACCCCAAUUGAAGAGGAUCUAGAUCAGGAGUCAGCAAACUUUUUCAGCAGGGGGCCGGUCCACUGUCCCUCAGACCUUGUGGGGGGCCGGACUAUAUUUUUUUUGGGGGGGGGGGACGAAUGAAUUCCUAUGCCCCACAAAUAACCCAGAGAUGCAUUUUAAAUAAAAGGGCACAUUCCACUCAUGUAAAAACACGCUGAUUCCUGAACCGUCCACGGGCCAGAUUUAGAAGGCGAUUGGGCCGGAUCUGGUCCCCAGGCCUUAGUUUGCCUACGCAUGAUCUAGACAAUCAAUUUCCUCCCAGAGUGCCUGGAUCUGGUCCGUGACCACCUGCUCAAGAACCUUGCCCAAGAAGGGGAGAUCGGCUGUUACUUAGAUUUCCCAAGCUCAGAGAGCAUUUAUUAAGGAGCAGUUUUACCACCGCCUCCUUCAAGCAGGCAAGGACCAGCCCCUCUCACAAGGAGGCAUUAAUCACCUCCUUGGCCCAGUUAGCUGUCCUCACCCGGCUAGUUUUUAUCAGCCAAGAGGAGCAAGGGUCCAUAGAGCAAGUACCGUAUUUUUUGCUCUAUAAGUCUCACUAUUUCCCUCCUAAAAAGUAAGGGGAAAUGUGUGUGGGUCUUAUGGAGCGAAUGCAGGCUGCGCAGCUAUCACAGAAGCCAGAACAGCAAGAGGAAUUGCUGCUUCCACUGCGCAGCGAUCCCUCUUGCUGUUCUGGCUUCUGAGAUUCAGAAUAUAUUUUUUCUUGUUUUCCUCCUCCAAAAACUAGGUGCGUCUUGUGGUCUGGUGCGUCUUAUAGAGCGAAAAAUACGGUAGCUGCCCUGGCUCACCCAAGUACCUUGCCCACAACUUUGAUCCUUACCAACUGAAUACCAGCCUCUGGUAUUGCAGAAUUUGGAUUAGGGAGGGGGUGAGACCCUGGUUCUGGCCCCUUGAGAAAUGACAGUGUCACACAACUCCAAACCAUUCCCUCCAUCUAUCCAAAUGUUCGAUUUUCUGUCCGCUUCCCAAAUCGUCCCCAUAUGUCAGCUGACACUAGCUUGUCAUCAGGCUGACAUCUAAGGGCAGACAUAUGAAGGCUUUCUCCAUUCUUGGAAAAGGCUGUUGUUUUUUUGGGUUCUUGGAAAUGAAGAUGUUUUAAAAAGAAGAAGUCGUUUGCAACAGAUGUUCUGCGUAAAUGUGGGAAUCGGGGGGUAUUCGUAUCAACGCUUGCCAUCUCCCUAAAUGAAUCACCACCCUGUGAUCCUCGGAUGAAGGCCGGAAUAGGGAUUUAAUAGAUGACAGAAAUAGCGAUGCUUAGAAAAGCAAAGAAGAGAGAUGUAGCUGUCUUGAAAUCCAAAUGGCGUCUCUUGGUGCUCAAAAGUAAGGAGUAAAAAAACCCCAAAAAAUCAGCAUUUAUGUCUGUCUCUUUUGUGGAGACGAGAAGAACUUCGAAGAAAUUCCAUGGUCUCAUGGUCAGGAAAUAAGCACCACUGCAAGGAUGAACAGGACUUUUCUAAAUGCUUAGGAGUUUGCAGCUCUUAGCAAUAAGUCUCUGAGAUAUGUCACAUGGUCACUUGGUCCUCCCAAGCCAAAAUGUCCCUCCAAACAGCUGGCUCAUUCCAUAUACAAUUGGAUCCAGGAUUGGCAGAAACAUACAAACUGAUAAAUGGGUGUCUCUGAGCCAUGUACAGAGUGCUCCCUACGUAUCACUGUGGAAACAGAGGCCAGCCACCACAUUCAGGAUUAUGGGGAAUCAUGUCAGAUUCUGGGCAAGCUUGACUUCUGGCCUCCCAAUUUACAGAAAGUGAGUCCUUUUGCCAUUUACAGGAUUUCACCAUUUCAUCUUACAGGAAUACAGAACAUUCAAACCUAAGAUUAUCUAAUAGCCAAUUUGGGGGCUGAAUUCCAGUGGCUACAUAGCCAAAUCAGGGUCACUGAGGAACUAGAGAGAUAUCAGCAGGCUAAGAGGAACUCUGAGGUUUGCAAAUAUAGAUACAGAUAUGGAAAAUCUAAGGUGUUCAACAGGAAUAAAACAGCCAUUAAGGUUUGAGUAUGUUAAGUGGCAAUGGAGAGAGAGAGAAAGGAAAAGUACAGCGGACAGCAGGGGAGAUGGAAUGGAAUAUCAUGAAAAGGGGCAUGCCUGCGAGGCUGGAACCCUGAACAGGAGCAUUUUACACUACAACAUUUUGUUGCAGCCUCCGCUCAUAUAGUUAUAUUUCCAGACUCAGACAGGACUCCCAUAAGCUUCCCAGCAUGAGGGAGUAGAUCUGUUCAUCUUUUGCCAAGGGCACAGGAGAGGUUAUCCUGAGGUUCUCUGCGCUUCCUUCUGGAAUGUUCUCCGGGGAGUUACUUUUAGCUCUUCUCCCGAGACAGGGCCCAGCUACUCUGUCUCCUCUUCCAUCCUUCUCGCUGGGAAAUGAGGGGGAAGUUCAUAUUAACACUUGGUUAAGAAAUACAAAUUUUGCCCAUUCAGUGCCAGGGAUCCAUUUACAGCCGCCUCCAGCUCCUGAUCUAUUGCUUGGGAGCCGGACUGGCAAAAUACUGUUGCCAAAACGCCAUAAUUAGUGACCACGCCAACAGGCACACUGGCAACCUUUCCCUCAGUCCAGUAUGAGUCACAGUCCCUUCCUUUUUUCAGAUGAACAUGCCAAAGCUUUGGCGCUGUGGGCAGCUGUGGCGACAGCAGCGCUGUGAGGCACAUAAAUAGCUCUUUUUUCAUACGAACAGCAGGUGAUGGGAUUUUGUUUUCCCUCAGUUACUCAUUUGCUGUAUCCCCCGCCUUCCUUUCGCCCCAGCACCGAUCCUGCCUUUUUUAAAAAACAAAACAAAACAGCACUUUAUACUUGAGGCGACGUAGUGGAGCCUUCAAACAGAAGCCUUAUUAUUUUGAGAGAGAGAGAGAGAGAGAGAGAGACUCACUAGCUCACCGAAUCCUGGGCAUAGGGCAACAUCCAUUUCCAAGUCUCUUGAGAGUUUUCAAAAAUGUGAAUUCUGUGGGAUUAAAAUGAAGGGGUUGGGAAUCAAAGACCUGCGACACUGUGCCCAUGGGCCCAAAAUUGCUUUAUAGGGUUUGCUUUCCUAAAAAAGAAAAAAGUCUCUUCCUCACACCUCACAGCCAGGCAAAAUACUUACGAAUCCAAUGGGAGUCUCAAAUGGAGUUUGUGGUGCCCAGUACGUUUCUGAGCACAAUUCAAAGUGUUGGUGCUGACCUUUAAAGCCUUAAACCAUGGGUAGGCAAACUAAGGCCCAUUACUUACAUCAUAGGAGCCUACACAACACAAAACACUGUUGCCGUAUGUAGGUUUUAUUUUAUUUGUUUUUUAUCUUAUAUUUUGGAAAUGUACAUCCAGGUUUUUUCCCCUUUAAAUAUUUUGGGGGGCCUGAAGCUAUAGCUUGUUUAGCUUAUACAGUGGUACCUCGAGUUAAGUACUUAAUUCGUUCCGGAGGUCAGUACUUAACCUGAAACUGUUCUUAACCUGAAGCACCACUUUAGCUAAUGGGGCCUCCUGCUGCUGCCGCGCCGCCGGAGCACGAUUUCUGUUCUCAUCCUGAAGCAAAAUUCUUAACCUGAAGCACUAUUUCUGGGUUAGCGGAGUCUGUAACCUGAAGCGUAUGUAACCUGAAGCGUAUGUAACCCGAGGUACCACUGUACGUAAAUCUGGCACUGGGUCCACUGCUUUUUCCCUGGCUGCUCCUGAUGAUGAUGAUGAGAAUCUAGUGCCAUUUCCCACCCACCCACGGUUUCUCCCUCCUUCCUUUCUGGAUUAGACCCAGAGCUGAUCACAGCCACUCAGGGAUGUCAACAUGUUACUUUUGUGGGGUACGUGGUAUUAAUUUCUGCAAGCACCCUGGAGCCCGUGUGUGAAAUCCUACCAGUGGGCAACGCUUAUAAACUCUGCAAACUUGCUUUUUGUGGAUUUUAAUGAGUUGGCAUUUGUCUUUUGUAUUAAAGAUAGCAGCCCAGCUGCCUGCAUUUGUGGACUCUUCGUGGGGGUGGCUAAGGACUCUCCUUCGAGGCUCUGUAUCCUGCCCUGAUUUGCUCCUGCAAUUCAGAAUUGCCCUGAUCCUGGCAGCAAGGCCUCAUUCAUUCAUGCAAGCGUGAAUUGGCCCUGCACCUCCACCUAUACGCUCCCGCCAAAUGAAAAUCUUGUCUGCGGAGAGAGAGGCAAAAGCUCACCUCCUUUCCACAUUCGCUUUGGGCUGCACGCCGUAUGAUGUAGGUUGUGUACUACCUACGGGACCGCCUCUCCUGGUAUGUCCCACAGAGGAACUUACGGUCUUCAAAUAAAAACAUCCUGAAGGUCCCAGACCACAGAGAGGUUAGGCUGGCCUCAACUAGAGCCAGGGCUUUUUCGGCUGUGGCUCCAAUCUGGUGGAACGCUCUGUCACAAGAGAGUAGGGCCCGUGGGACCUGACAUCUUUCUGCAGGGCCUGCAAGACAGAGCUGUUCCACCAGGCCUUUGGUCAGGGCGCAGCCUGACUCCCUCCUCUGGCAAUCUCCACAGAACUUUAGCUUAAUGGUUGCCAACAAUUUGAUUUUAAUUAAUUUUUAUAAUGAAAUGUUUUUAGAAUCUUGUACUAUUUUAUUGUUGUUAGCCGCCCUGAGCCCGGCUUCGGCUGGGGAGGGCGGGAUAUAAAUAAAUAUUAUUAUUAUUAUUAUUAUUAUUAUUAUUACUACUACUACACAAUUCUUAAGACCCACCCACCCAUAGAUUUAUGGGAACUGUAGUUUGGGAAGGGUGCUAAUAAUAAUAUUAUAAUAAUUAUUAUUUAUAUCACGCCCGUCUGGCUGGGUUUCCCCAGCCACUCUGGGCGGCUUCCAGCAAAAUAUUAAAAAACAAUAAUUCAUCAAAUAUUAAAAGCUUCCCUAAACAGGUCUGCCCUCAGAUGUUGUCUAAAAGUCAGAUAGUUGUUUAUCUUCUUGACAUCUGAUGGGAGGGCGUUCCACAGGGCGGGCGCCACUACUGAGAAGGCUCUCUGCCUGGUUCCCUGUAGCUUUGCUUCUCACAGUGAGGGAACCGCCAGAAGGCCCUCAAUGCUGGACCUCAGUGUCCGGGCUGAACGAUGGGGGUGGAGACGCUCCUUCAGGUAUACUGGGCCGAGGCCGUUUAGGGCUUUAAAGGUCAACACCAACACUUUGAAUUGUGCUCUGAAAUGUACUGGGAGCCAACAUAGGUCUUUCAAGACCGGUGUUAUGUGGUACCGGCAGCCACUCCCAGUCACCAUUCUGGCUGCCGCAUUCUGGAUUAGUUGUAGUUUCUGAGUCACCUUCAAAGGUAGCCCCACGUAGAGCGCAUUGCAGUAGUCCAAGCGGGAGAUAACUAGAGCAUGCACCACUCUGGCAAGACUGACAGUGUGCGGGCAGGUAGGGUCUCAGCCUGCGUACCAGAUGGAGUUGGUAGACAUAAAUACCUGGUUUGCCCCCAACCUCAGAUCCUGACCCCUUUCAACACCCCAAAGAUUGCUCCCCUCCCCAACGAAGCCAAUGGGGAGACACCAUGUGGGGGAUUAGUAGUUUAUUUUAUUUUUUGGCAUAUGGCUUAGAGUGCCUUCGCGGCAGUCCCCUCUUGGCCUUUUGAACCUCGGAUGCUAUUUCUGGGCAGGCAGCCUGUCUCCCUAGCAGAUGGUGAUGAUGGUUGAAGAGCCAGAGGAGGAGAGCGGCUCUUGCAUUGGACUGCCGGAGAGUGGAGGGAGGUCUCAGAUGGCCCUCCAGGAAUGUCUAAGUGGCACAUGAUGCCGAAAGGGUUAUGUCAGCUCUGGCGGCGAUGACUGAGACACUAAGAAUAGCCCGUGCCCAGUUUGGAAAGGUGUGGGACUUAGGGAACAAAGCUUAAUGGUUUGAAUCAGGGGGCAGAAGACCUGCUGGAUGGUUGUAGAGACUCAGUGUUGGAAGCUGCACGUGGCUUAGGCUUAUUUAACUGCUUAUAUAAUCUGUUGCCUUCAUGUCCCAUCUUUCAUCCAAGAGCUCAAGGUGGCCUACGUAGUUCUCUCCUGUCAGUUUGCAUUUCUUAGCACAGAAAGUAUUGAUCUGAUGUGUAGAGAUCUUUCCUGUUCUAAUUCAUUCAACAGAGUUCUGGAAGCUCCUAAAAGCUUCUCUGCAUGAGAGAAGCAGGCAGAAGGGUUAGUGAUUGUUUGGGUUGUACCUUCAGGGAAGCUGGUUUGAGCUGAUUAUCUCUCUUCCAAUUAAGGUCAUGCUGACUAUAAAUAUAGGUCAGAAGGAGUCUGGGUUUUACCUUUCUCUUUCUAUCUCUCUUCCUUCUGGUGUGGUGUUCUGUACAUAGUAUGCUUAGUACUAGGGUUUAGUCUUAUUAUAAGUUAAGUUUAUAAUUUUUUGUAAGUGCGGCAACUGGAAUUUUAUGGACUGUGCCUGUUAAGUUGUGGAUGAACAUAUCAGAUGACACAGCGAUUCUUCAGACAGCUCUUGUUUAUUCACAGGCCCAGAACAGAACUGAACUGAAGGGUUCAGCCAGCCUGCUUAUAUAGAGCUCCAGUACAACGCAACUGUAACAACUUUCUGUAACUAUUCAAUCACUGAACGUCACCUUCCAUCCCUUAUUUGCAUAUGUGGACCUGAGUGAAAACUAUCUACAGUAUCCCCCUGCUGGCCCAGGGUGAGAACUUCAGUACAUAACAGUGCCAAUCCUGAAUGUACUGGAUCGGUGACCAUUAUUCUCGUUUGCCUUCAGCACAAGUAAAAGCUCUGCUGAAUGAAAUAUUGCCUCUGGUCUAUUUUUUUAAUCUCUGCUGUUGUGUUUUAAGUUUUUCCUCCACACGUAUGACCUCUCCUCCUCCUUGUUUUAUCUUCAAAACAGCCCUGUGACGCAGCUUGGGCUGAGAGGGGCAGUGACUGGCCCAAGGCCACCCAGUGAGCUUCAUGGCUAAAUUGGGGAUUCGAACCCUGGUCUCCUGGGUCCUAGUCUGACACUCUCACCACUGCAGCACACUUCUGGACUGCAGUUCCCAUCAGCCAACAUGGCCAAGCUGAUUUAACUCUUGCGUUGCCAGAAUGUUAAAAUGAGCCUGCCAGUGACAAACAUGAAUGUCAUUAAAUGUUUUCCCAUCGUAUUAAAAGAUCUUCAGUGGCAAGGACGAUGAAUGACGCUCUUGAAUAGAAAAAUAUUUUUCUUGAAAUUUUUGGCAGAGUGGUUUUUUUAUUAUUAUUAGAAAGGGCUAGCCAUAUUUUUGUUAAUGUGUACAUAGGUACUCACCUUCAAACAUCUGGAGGGCUGUCACAUGGAAGAUGGAGCAAGCUUGCUUUUUCUUGCCCCAGAGGGUAGGAUCCAAACCAAUGGAUUCAAGCUGCAACGAAGGAGAGUCUGACUGUUCGACAGUGGAAUGGACUCCCUCGGAAGGUGGUGGACUCUGAUUUAAGCAGAGGUUGGACGACCAUCGGUCAGGGGUUCUUUAGCUGCGAUUCCUGCAUUGCAAGUGGUUGGACCACAUGACUCUCAGAGUCCCUCCCAACUUAACGCUUCUAUGAUUCCAUCAACAUUUUUCUUUCUUUCUUUCUUUUUUUAAUAUAUCUUUAUUGGUUUAAAAUACAAUCUUACAAUAAAGGUAAGUACAACAAAGUUAAGCACAGAAAAGAAAAGAAGAAAAAAGAAAGAAAAGAAUUCUCCACAUCAAAAAGUACAAAAAGUUUAAAAGUAACAAGAAGAAGAAAAAUAACAAUUAAAAGUACCAGAUAUUUAUACAACAUCAUGUCUUAUCCAAUAAAGUCUUCUGUGAAAAGCUUCCAAUCCUUCUCAUUAUGCUUUUUCUAUUGUCUUGAUUUUAUCACACUGUUUUAUUUCUUUUUCCAUAUAUACCUCUAAGAUGUUUAUUCCAUUUAUUUAUUAUACACAAAUAUCAUUCAAUUCUGCUAGGAUGGUAUCAUUUCUACAAUAUAGUCUUAUAUAUUCCUUAAAUGUUUUCCAUUCUCCAUAUACUUUUUGAUUUAAAGUUCCCCUGACUUUUCCACUCAGCUUUGCUAAUAGGAAAUACUCUGUCAUGAGUGUUUGCCAUUCUGCUAUUGUUGGUGUUGUUUCGCAUUCCACCAUCAUUUUUCAGAAGGAGUUUGGAGCUGUCCGUGGUCCUGCAUGGAGCUGUCCGUGGUCCUGCAACCCUUGCCUUGCCUCGCCUGGGAUUUACCCCUGCCCCAACUUAUACUAGAAACCUCAUACACCUCCCAGGCCCAGCUUGUCAUGUUCAACGAGUGAUGAACUUCGGUUCCCUAAUUUCUGUGGGUCGAUUCUGAGCAGAACUUAGUUGGCUUGCAACCCUUUAUAGCUGUGAUCCGGGCGAGUCCCAACCCGCCCCCUUCACUAGAGCUGAAGUCCGUACAUCUGAAAAGUGCCUCGUGAAAUCUAUGACGGCACGGUCUGCUGGCUUCGGAGCUGUGCCGUGACUGGGAGCAUAAAUCUUAUGCUUCUGGAAAUGAAUAAUAGAAGGGGGAGAGCCAUAAAAGAAGAUGGCGAGGGGCAGAAUUCACCUCACAAACCCUGCAGACGGCCGCCAGAGGUUCCCCGCAGAGUAACGGGUGUUCCACGAGAAUGGAUCAGGGGCGCCGGACGUUACAAGAGUGAUGAGGUGCAGGGGCUUGCACUUUCUGCCCAAGCGCAAGGGAGCAAUAGCGAGUGACUGGGCAUAAAUCUCCCGCAAGGUCAAAGGCGCGAAUGACGCUAAGGUGAAGUGGGGAAGCCAUUCCCCUUAAUAGGCCGGUAGCAGGAUGCAGAAGCUUCGUGAUGCAUUGCAAAGGUAAUUGCUGCAAGGGAGGGAAGUUAAUGGCAGGGCUGAAGUCUUCUCCCGACGCUCAUGCGGAUACAUGCGCACACACAGUCUCCACUCUGGUCCUUUUCUUUGCAAUAACGCGGCAAAAUAUAUUCAGUCUUCCAGUGCAGUUGUGCUGGUCCUGGGGGUUAAUCAAGAGGCAAGGUCCAAGUCCAGUCCAUGGUCGAUGAAGCAAUAUGAAGGUAGUCUGUAAAAGUCGAAGCUGGGUGCAGGACAGGGUUCAGGCAGGAACUGACAACCACCAACAUUGCUCCCGCAACUUGGGACUGGGGCUGGCUGGCUCUGCCCCAAGGCAUAGGGUGGCCCCGAUCCUCUGGUGACUCACCUCUCCUGGCCUGGAAGUGAGCACUCUUCCUGCGGCAACUUAGUUCCCUCCACCUCUCUGCCCUGAGCCUCUGCAGCUCAGGAGAGGCUGGAGGGUUUCCAGACCCAGAGGCAACCUCAGCUUCCCCUGACGGGGCUGAGAGUGGAGCACCUGCAGGCAAUGGGUCCUCCAUCACCUCAGGAGCCAGAGCAGACUCAGCUGGUGCCUGCACCUGAGGAUCCAGCACAGGUGAGGACCCUUCAGGCUCAUGCCUCAGCUGGUUCUGUAGGCGGGGAAUCCUGUGCAGGCUGGGAUUCCUCAGGUUCAGCAUCUGAAUCCAAAUCCCAGGCCAUCACAGCAGUUUUGAAGAGGAAGGCAGGAGAAUGGGAAGGAAGGGGACACGGCCGCUUCUUCCAUUUCCCUGACAUUUCCUUAAGUGUUUAUUGAGAGCCGGUGCGGCCUAGCGGUGCGGUGUCAGUCUAGGACCCGGGAGACCUGGGUUCGAAUCCCCGCUUGGCCACGAAGCUCAAUGGGUGACCGUAGGCCUACCCUACCUCGCAGGGUUGUUGUGGGGGUUAAGCGAGGAAGCGGGGGAGAACUGCCUCGAGGUCCUUGGAGAAAAAUGGAGGAUAUCAAUGAAGCAAACCACUUGGCGCUUGAAAUUGAAACACUUUGAAUUUUCCUUUUACGCUGAUUGUGGCUCUAGGGCAGGGACCUUCUUGCAGAAAUAGUAAUGUUCACACACCCACACACCCCAUGGCCCCAGACCAUUACACUAUUACUGCAAAUAGGAACAUAGUAAGCUGCCUUGUCCUGAAUCAGACCAUUGGUCUAUCUCAUGGGUAGGCAAACUAAGGCCCAGGGGCCGGAUCCAUCCCAAUCGCCUUCUAAAUCUGGCCCACGGACGGUCUGGGAAUCAGUGUGUCUUUACAUGAGUAGAAUGUGUCCUUUUAUUUAAAAUGCAUCUCUGGGUUAUUUGUGGGGCCUGCCUGGUGUAUUUACAUGAGUAGAACGUAUGCUUUUAUUGAAAAUGCAUCUCUGGGUUAUUUGUGGGGUGUAGGAAUUCGUACAUUUUCCCCCCUUCAAAAUAUAGUCCCCCCCCACAAGGUCUGAGGCACAGUGGACCGGCCCCCUGCUGACAAAGUUUGCUGACCCCUGGAUCUACUUCAGCAUUGUCUACACUGACUAACAGUACCUUUCCAUGAUUUUAGGCUGGGGUCUUUCCCAGCCCUAUUUGGAGAUACAAGCAUAUCCGCUACUAUUGAGCCGUGGUCCUCUUCCACUACAGUCUUCUUGCCAGAGGAAUCCCACUGCUACCACCUGAGUAUCCAAGUUCGGCUACAAAUCAAGAAGUAGCCCAAGGUGCUAGCCCUCAGGAACUAGGAGAAGCUGGGCACCACCAGGGACUGGGAAGCUUGACUCUCUGUAGCCAGAACCUCAACACUCAUUGCAUACCCUCCAAUAUUUCUCUGAUGAAAAUAGGGACGUCCUCUUCUACAUCAGGGACAUGCGUGGCUCUGUGGGUUAAACCCCAGAGGCUAGGGCUUGCCGAUCAGAAGGUCGAUGGUUUGAAUCCCCGCGAUGGGAUGAGAUCCCGUUGCUCAGUCCCUGCUCCUGCCAACCUAGCAGUUCGAAAGCACGUCAAAGUGCAAGUAGAUAAAUAGGCACCGCUUUGGCGGAAAGGUAAACGGCGUUUCCGUGCACUGCUCUGGCUCGCCAGAAGUGGCUUAGUCAUGCUGGCCACAUGACCCAGAAGCUGUAUGCUGGCUCCCUCAGCCAAUAAAGCGAGAUGAGCGCUGCAACCCCAGAGUCGGCAACGACUGGACCUAAUGGUCAGGGGUCCCUUUACGUUUACCUUCUACAUCAGGAAGCUUUUCCUGGGUUUGAUCUCCCACACACAAAGACGUCAUACACACAUUGACAUUGGUCACUUUGAGCCAAUUGCAGCCUCUCCACCAAACUUACCUCACAGGGUUGUUGUAAAGGAAAAAAAUGUGAGAGGGAAGGAAUCAUGUAUAAUGCCCUCCACAGGUAAAUAGGUUGAAAUAAAAUUGUAGCUAUCAGUUGCCUUGAGUCCUUGUCAGGGAAAAAGGCAGGAAAUUAACAACAACAACAACAUUGAAAUAAUAAUAAUAAUAAUAAUAAUAAUAAUAAUAAUAAUAAUGGAAACUGUGAAAAUGAUCAGGAACAUACCAGAGAGUAAAUCCUAUUGAACUUAGUAGGAUUUAGUUCUGAGGAAAAACGCUUAGGAUUGCAGUGUAAGGCUGCCCAGUCUUGACCCAGUUACCUGGGAGUAAACUGCAUUGAAUGGGACUUACUUGUGAGUAGACAGUGUGAGGCUCAGUUUACAAUAAAGAAAUAAACAUUCUACAUGUUUCCUAAGAAAUGACCGGCUACGGAAGCAUUGCAAUGAAUGAAUUUGAAGCAGACUGGUGAUCUUUUCCUUCAAAAUUACAGGAAGGGCUUCGUAUACACCAGCUACACCAUUUCCUUCAUAUUUUAUUUUCAGUAUUAAGCUUGGCCUGAUCCAGCAGGAUCUUAUUGUGUUCUUAGGUGGCACAACUUCCUUUGGAAAAAGCUGCUUGAGAUCCGCCAGCAGGACUGCCAAUCCUUCCACGCUUACAAGGGAGCAAGAACCGUUUAACCCAGACAGACGUGCAUCCGAGUCGAUACAGGCAUAAGAUUUGGUGGCAUGAAACAUUUAAACAGGAAAGUGCAGGGGCUCGUAUCACAUGAGCCCAAUCCAUCUUUUCCAUCCUUCUCAGAAAACAUGGCCUUCGAGUGACACCGUGACAUCUCGUGUUUCCACUGCCCCCCCUUCUCAAAAAAAACACGUUUUGUUUGUUCUCUGUUUUAUCUUCCUCAAAUCACAUUGUGCGCAGAAAUGGGAAGAAGCUAACGGUCCAGUGAAUGCAAUAUAAACUUCAGAUACGCUUGUGUCCCCGAUCUGGCUAUGCCUGCAUUGCUGCCUUAUCUGGCCUCUUAUCUUGUUCCCUCUCCCCAGAGGAUACUGGGAAUUGAUGUACAAGACUGAAGUGUAGGGAGUCUCAAGAGAGAAAGCAAAUCUGUUCUUCCAGGGAGGGGAAAAACACCAUGCAUUUUCCCAUUGCUCCUUUUUGGCUCGAUUGCCUUCAGCACUGAUUGAUGGAUUGUGUUUGUAUCCCAGUGUUUUCUCUAAGAAGCUCAAAGAGGUAUGCAUGGUUCUUCCCCCCUGAAUUAAUCUCUGUGCUGGGCCCGGGGGUAAACCCGAGCAAUGCAGUCCAGGUCCAGUCCUGAAUCCAAGGGUUCUGCGAAGAGUCAGCCCGACAGGGUCAAGGCAGGAAACCAGGCAGAGUCAGGCACAGGGUCUCAGGCAGGUUCUAGCAAACAGCAAUGUUGCUCCCACAACCUGGGGCGGGGUCCGACAGCCUUUUAUCUCUGUCGGGGUAGCAGCCAGUCCUGAUCCCCUGGCAACUCACCUCCCUGUCUCUCCUGAAGGCGAGCACUCCUCCUGCGAGUAUUCAGGUCUCUCCUUCUCUCAGACCUCAGUCUCUGCAGCUCGGGAGACGUCGGUGGGUUACUAGACCCAGGGGCCGCCUCAGCCUCCCCUGACCCAACCGGUAGUGGAGCAGCUGUAAGUGUUGGCCCAGCUGGAGGCAACGAGGUCAUCCCCCGCAUCUGGAGCCAGGGCAGACUUAGGCCCCUGACUCGGCCCAGCUGGUGCUUGUUGCAGGGGAACCUGUGCAGACUGGGACUCUUCAGGAUCAGGCCCCAGACUUGGUUCCGAUGCCGCCUGAGGCAGAGGAUCCAGUGCGGACUGAGACUCCUCUGGUUCCGAGUCCGAGCCCGAGUCCCAGGCCAUCACAAUCCCCACAACAGCCCUGUGAGAUUGGACUGAGGGGUAGCGAUUGGCCCAAUGUCACUUGGUUGUGUAGGGAUUUGAACCCUGGCCUCCUGAGUGCUAGUCUGAUGCUCUAACCACUCUGCGAGGCUGCCUGCUCAUUGUAAAAUCUGAUAAACAUUUGACGCUAAAUCCUCCGUCCAUGAUAGAAUCAGGGCCUAAACUGCAUGGGAUGUUUGAUGAGAGAUUUGCCCUCAAGGACAGGAUUUCCCUUCCACAAACGUCCAGCGCAAGGCCUGUGAUCUGGAUUGGGACCCAUGUGCACACACAUAAAUGCCUGCUGGAUGUUGGAGGGUAUGUAUUUCCAAUCCUUCCAUGUCUGCAUGGGGAUCAACAUUGGAAAAUGUUGAUCACUUCUCCGACCUGGGCAGUUAUCUUUCCACAAGGGCCGAUAUUGAUGCUGAAAUCCAGCAUCACCUGAGCUCUGUGAGUGCGGCUUUCUCCCGAUUGAAGUGCAGAGUGCUUGAGGUCAUUUGCAAGGAAACCAAAAUGCUUGUUUACAAAGCUAUUGUACUACCAACCUUACUGUAUGCUUGCCAAACAUGGACCACUGUGUCACUGAAAAAAUUUACACAUCACUUGGGAAGACAGGUGCACUAAUGCCAAUAUACUGGAAGAAGCAAAGAUCACCAGUGUUGAAGCAAUGGUUCUUCAACAUCAACUUCGUUGGACUGGUCAUGUUGUGCGGAUGCCUGAUGAUCGUCUUCCAAACAACUACUCUAUUCUGAACUUAAAAAUGGAAAGUGCCAUGCUGGUGGUCAACAAAAGAGGUUCAAGGACUCUCUCAAGGCAAAUCUUUAAAAAUGUAGUAUAAACACCAACAAUUGGGAAACACUGGCCUGCGAGCGCUCCAAUUGCAGAAAAGCCUUUACCAAAGGUGUCAUGGGCUUUGAAGCCACUCGAACUCAGGACGCAAGGGAGAAACGUGCUAAGAGGAAGGCACGCUUGGCAAACCCUCACCGUGAUCAACUCCCGCCUGGAAACCAAUGUCCCCACUGUGGAAGGACGUGUGGAUCCAGAAUUGGCCUCCACGGUCAGUUACAGACUGACUGUUAAAACCGUGUUUAUGGAAGACAAUCUUACUCAGCUACGAGGGAUCGCCAAAGAAGAUGUCUGCAUGGGGGAGCCUCCCAUUGAAGCAGGUGGGACUUCCCCCAUCCCUGCAAAGCGCUGAUGUGGAGGCCUGAUCCAUACUUGCCAAGUGCCCGGUUUUAAGCACAAUGACCCUGCUUUCUUUGAAGGCCCCCACCCCGGGCUCUGCCUUUGUCCUGGGGGGGGGCCUCAACUUCAUGCGGCCUAAGGAUGGAGGCUGAGGAAACAGCUCCUGCGAAGGCAGCAGGAUUCGCUUCCCCACCAACAUGGCACCCUAAUGGAACCACAACUCCCAUCAACCCCUAGGAGAGGCGUACCCUCCAACAUUUCUCUGACGAAAAUAGGGAUGUCCUAUUCAAUUAUAAUAGUUAUUUAUUUACAUUUUUUAUUUUUACUGUUCAAGUUUAUACAUUUCACUAAUUUUACACUCAUUUUGACAUUUCAAAACUUGACUUCCUUCCCCCUCUUUCUGCGGUUCCUUAAAUUUCUUUUUAACAUCUUUUGCAUAUCCAAAUGGACCAAAUGUUCGAAAACUGGAACACCUACUUCCGGUUUUGCAGCCUUUGGGUUCUAAGUUGUUCGUGAACGAAGCUGUUUGAAAACUGAGGUACCACUGUAUUUGGCUUCUCAGCAGUGGUGGGGGUGCAGGCCAUCUUCAAGGCCCCUUCACCCACAAAUGCCUGACUCUGAGGAAGGGUUUUUACAUUCCCUACAGAGACAGUGUGAGACGCUAGCAGGCAGCAAAGGAAGAGACCACCGCCAUGCAGAAAUAGGUGGCUUUGGUCCACCUCCCCUCAGGCAGCGAAAUCUCUUGCGCCAGCCAUGCGAGGCUGUGCUUGAGCGCGAACCGGAGACGAUAGAAGAUUCGUGGUUGAAACAAAUCGCUAAUUAUCAAGUUGUCCCGGCAGAUGAUAACCCCGAUAACGGCUUAUUACCAAAGCCAUCUGCCAGGGAUGAGCCUCUUCCGAAAGGGGGUAGUGAUCUUUGCUGAGCUGCCGUGAGAAAACAAUUAAAAACUGCAUAACGAGAUAUUUUAUUAACGCUGCUUUUGCGAACGUUUCUGCAGGCCUCUCGCAGCCCGUCUCCCGGGGGGUGUUGCGCCUCUUUGCCACUGUUUUAAUCACAACACGAGAAACAGCUGUGUAAACUCGAGAUACGGCUUGCAAAAGGGAGAAAGAAAUCCCAGCGCAGGAUCGCACACAGCUGAUACGAUCUUUUAUUUACCAAAGGCUUCCAGCCAAGAGUCACUUUCCAUGAGAGGAUGAGGCGUGGAACAAAACCACAGAAACACAAACAGGAUUCUUAGGAAGUGUCGGGGGCCUGCAACAGCAUCCAGUGCCGGACCCGCAAGUUUUGAUCGGACUCUGUGCCAGGAACCUGGUAUGGCCCCAAUGGGAGCAUCACAGUGCUAGCAAUUGCUUCAGGCGGCUGCUUAGCCUGGCCUGGCCUGGCCCUACCAUUGGACAGAGUGAAGCCAUUGCCUCAGGUGAGAGAGACUGCAAAGGCAACUUUCCCUAUAGAACCCCCAGCCAUUCCCCUUUGUUGUUGUUUGCCUUCUCCUGGGUCCCUUAAUCUGUCGUGUUGCACUAGAGCAGGCAUAGGCAAACCCGGCCCUCCAGGUGUUUUGAGACUACAAUUCCCAUCAUCCCUGGCCACUGGUCUUGUUAGCUAGGGAUGGUGGGAGUUGUAGUCCCAAAACAUCUGGAGGGCUGAGUUUGCCUAUGCCUGCACUAGAGCCCAUUUAAUAAUAAUAAUAAUAAUAAUAAUAAUAAUAAGAAUUUGUUUGUUUAGUUGUUUGGUCGUGUCCAACUCUUCAUGACCCCAUGGACCACAGCACGCCAGGCACUCCUGUCUUCAAUAAUAAUACUAAUAAUAAUAAAUUUUGUUUAUACCCUGCCCUCCCCAGCCAGGGCCGGGAGACUAACACCAAAUAUGAAUUACAAUAAACGUAAUAGAGGAAAACAAACAAACAAACAAACACACAAACAAACAAACAGUUAAUUAAAAUACAGCUUAAAAUACAGCUUAAAAUGCAGCCUCAUUUUAGUAGUAGACCAUAAAUCAAGACCAUAAAGGGACAUCAGAUAUUCACCUGAGCCAGCUAUCCAUGCUGGUCCUACAUGCGCCAACAAAAAAGCCAAGAGAAAAUUUAUAUACAAAAUCCCAUAUAAGGGGUCAGAGUGAGUCUAAGCCGAAGGCCAGGUGGAACAGCUCCGUCCUGCAGACCCUGUGGAAAGAUGUCAAAUCCCGCAGGGCCCUAGUCUCUUGUGACAGAGCAUUCCACCAUGUCGGGGCCAGUGCUGAAAAGGCCCUGGUCCUAGUUGAAACCAAUCUAACCUCCUUGAGGCUUGGGACCUCCAAAGUGUUGUUAUUUGUGGAGCUUAAGGUCCUCCGCGGGGCAUACCAGGAGAGGCGGUCCCGUAGGUUUGUUUGCUUCAAAGUGUUCUGAAGCACAUCAGAUAGUUAUUGAGCUGCCUUCUUCAGUGUUGGACCCUUAUUGGUCUUGUCUAUUCAGUCCACAUGCAGUAAUAAUAAUAAUAAUAAUAAUAAUAAUAAUUUUUAAAAAUGGCAGAAUAAUACAAUUACAAAUAAAAUAAAGAUGCAUUUAAAGCACACAACAACUAUUAAAGCGUCUAAAAGCUUGCAGAACAUCUAAAAACACGGGAAAGAAUCACAUACCCUGACAGCUAAUAAUGUCAGGGUUGCUAGGAACAAUAUCUUUCAGCCAUAUGCUGCCUGGGUAAGCAUUAUAUAUAUAAGGAAUGCUUCCUGUUAAAAGCUCAUGAUGAGGGACAGAGAUGCACCUCACCAGGGAGGGCAUUUCACAAGCAGGGAGCCACCACCGAGGAGGCCCUGUCACAGUUUGCCGCCAACCGGGCAGCUCCCAGAAGCAACACCCAAUUUAAUAAGGUCUCUGAUUAAAGGGACUUAGCUGGAACGUCCACCAAAAUAGAGAACUCAUAUGCUUUGCUCCCACUGCUGCCCCUCCCCGUGACAGAAUAGAUGAAAUAUAUGCAUUAAAAAUGAUAAAGGCAUUACAGUGAUAAGGAGCUAUAAGUUCCUCCUGCGUAAGCAAAUGAUGGCAUUUCAUUCCAGACAUAAUUAACAUGCUGCACACAUAACCUAACCCCCUCUUGCUGAACUGCCACUAAAGCUUAGGAUCAUCUGGAAGCUGUCCUGCUACUUAACUGUAUAGAAAUGCAACUGAUUGAUGGGAACAGUAGUGAUUAUUUAUCGUAUUGUGGGAGGAGAGAGAGAGAAAGCCAGAAUCGAAAGCAAACAAGAUUUAAAGGUAAAGGGACCCCUGACCAUUAGGUCCAGUCGUGACCGACUCUUGGGUUACGGCGCUCAUCUCGCUUUAUUGGCCGAGGGAGCCGGCGUACAGCUUCCGGGUCAUGUGCCCAGCAUGACUAAGCCGCUUCUGGCAAACCAGAGCAGCACACGGAAACGCCGUUUACCUUCCUGCCAGAGCUGUACCUAUUUAUCUCCUUGCACUUUGACAUGCUUUCGAACUGCUAGGUUGGCAGGAGCAGGGACCGAGCAACAGGAGCUCACCUUGUCAUGGGGAUUCAAACCGCCAGCCUUCUGAUUGGCAAGUCCUAGGCUCUGUGGUUUAACCCACAGAGCCACCCGUGUCCCAAACAAGAUUUACCAUGGCUAUAAAUCGCCCAACACCUGUCACUGAGGUUGACAAACUGGACAGGGUGGGUGGGACCAACUGUUCACGGGGCAGGGAGGACAGGGGACAACAUUUUUGGUUGUAUCGGUGUUGCCUGGUGCUUCAAAAGCGCCUUUUAACUCAGCAUGCCCCAACCUGGGGUCCUUCAGGUAUUUUGGACUAGAAUUUCCAUCCUCAGUUACCAUUGAUCAUCUAGGACAAGGCUGAUGAGAACUGUAGUCUGGACUAAGGGGAGGAGCCAUGAAGGGAUGUGAGCCUACCCCACAGCAGGUGUGAUGGCCUGGGACUCAGGCUCAGACUCGGAACCAGAAGAGUCUCAGUCCGCACCAGAUCCUUUGUCUCAGGCAUAAUCUGAACCAAGUCUGAGGCCUGAUUCUGAAGAGCCCCAGUCUGCACAGGUUCCCCUGCAGCAAACACCAGCUGGGCCGAGUCAGGGGCCUGAGCCUGCCCUGGCUCCAGAUGCGGGGAUGACCUCGUUGCCUUCAGCUGGGCCAUCACUUACAGCUGCUCCACUACCAGUUGGGUCAGGGAAGGCUGAGGCGGCCUCUGGGUCUAGUAACCCACCGACGUCUCCCGAGCUGCAGAGACUCAGGUCUGAGAAAAAGAGAGACCUGAGUACUUGCAGGAGGAGUGCUCGCCUUCAGGAAAGACAGGGAGGUGAGUCACUGGGGGAUCAGGACCGGCCGUUACCCCGACAGAGAUAAAAGGCUGUCGGACCUUGCCCCAGGUUGCGGGAGCAACAUUGCUGUAUGCUAGAUCCUGCCUGAGAUCCUGUACCUGUCCUUGCCUGGUUUCCUGCCGUGGCCCUGUCGGACUGACUCCUAGCAGAACCUUCGGAUUCUGGACUGGUCCUGGACCAUGUUUCACUGGUUACCCCCAGGCCCAGCACAGCAGGACCAAGAAAACAGAGAGAAGUAAAGCUGAGGUGGUCAUCCCAGCUGACUGGAAAAGCCAUGAUGCUCUCUGUGGAGAGCACUGACUCACGGCCCCAGUGACUCUGAUGCUACAGGGGGAAGUACAUUAUGCAAAGCGAGAGUAUUAACGGGAGGGGGGGCAAUGUAAUUCCACCAGGAAACAGUUCCUCCAUAGCAACUGGUGAAUAGAUACCUUGGUUAGAACUGAAAGGACAACCCAUAAAAUGGGUAUUUCAAAAAAUACGGUGUUGUACAUCCUGGGACACAAGUUGUUGAGCUUUUGGGGGGCAAAGUUGUUUAGAUGAGCUUUUUUUGCUAAAUCUAAAAAAAAUAAGACGACAUUUCCCCCGGACAUUUUAACCAAUUUUCAGAAAUUCCACCCGGACACUAUUUUCGACGGAUGAAUCCUGGGAAAUUCCGGACAUAGGGUGCUUUAUUUGGCCACUCCCCUUGGGUGACUGUUUGCAGAUGCUAACAUAUCAUUUUGAGGACUGGCUUUCUGUAGUCACUUCUAUUGCAUCUUUUUAAUGGAGCUGUAGUUUAGUUCAGGGGUCUCCUAACACCUCACAGCACCCUUAACGAACUACAGUCUCCAGAAUCCUUUGGGCAGGGCAGUCACGAUACUUAAAAGCGGUAUAGGUAAAGGUAAAGGGACCCCUGACCAUUAGGUCCAGUUGCGGACGACUCUGGGGUUGCGGUGCUCAUCUCGCUUUAUUGGCCGAGGGAGCCGGCGUACAGCUUCUGGGUCAUGUGGCCAGCAUGACUAAGCCACUUCUGGCGAACCAGAGCAGCACACGGAAAUGCCGUUUACCUUCCCGCCAGAGCGGUACCUAUUUAUCUACUUGCACUUUGAUGUGCUUUCGAACUGCUAGGUUGGCAGGAGCAGGGACCGAGCAACGGGAGCUCACCCUGUCAUGGGGAUUCGAACCGCCGACCUUCUGAUUGGCAAGUGUGGUUUAACCUACAGCGCCACCCGCGUGGCGGGUAUAAGAAGUGCUCAAAUCCCAAAGAAAUCCAGGUAAGAUAUGAGUGGGUCAGCAGCCGUGGGAAUCAAGACAGCCCUUCAUUUGGUAUUGAAGAACCGGUGGCCUCUUUGAAGGAUCUGUGCAGUUCAGUGUUGGCUGAGGGAAGCUGUAAGAAAGGAGGUCACCUUUGGGAAUUAGCCUUGGGAUUGCAUAAGCGGAAACUUUUAAAUGACGCGUGCGGCCGUAAAUUUCCUCCUUAGCAAAUUAAAGAAAGGUUUAUGGGCUCCUGGCAUGAUUACAUCCAUAGCAAUCCGGAGUUGGGUUUCAAAUAAACUUUGCUCCCAUUAAUUAUCGUCCUGUAAUCACAAGGGGGGGGAGGAGUCCCAGCAAGGGGGGGCGCAGUUCCAAAGGAGAGCUAUGAAGAAUGAAGGGAGGGAGAUUCUUCCCUGGAACCACAUCUCCAGUUGCCAUGAUAAUUGAUUGAUUGGUUGAUUGAUUGAUUGAUUGAUUGAUUGAUUGAUUGAAUUAAACCAAUCCACUUAGACUGGUGAUCCACCUCAUUCUGAGAGUUUUAGAUAAACAGGCUUUAUGGUUUUAGAGGCCGAUGGCCUCAAAUGCCUCCUUAUCACGCCCUGAGGAUAAUUUUGCUGAACAUCCUUUCUUAACAUCCUUUCAGUGAAGCUUGUCUAGGUAAAAGGUAAAGGACCCCUGGACGGUUAAGUCCAGUCGAGGGCAACUAUGGGGUUGUGGCGCUCAUCUCGCUUUCAGGCUGAGGGAGCCGGCGUUUGUCCACAGACAGCUUUUCGAGUCAUGUGGCCAACAGGACUAAACCACUUCUGGCACAACGGUACACCGUGACGGAAACCAGAACGCAUGGAAACGCUAUUUACCUUUCUGCCGCAGCAGUACCCAGUGGCAGAGCUUCAUGGUCCGACACCGGGGGGGGCGGAGAGCAGGCGGGGGUGGGGCUGACGUGCGUCCUGGGGGCAGGGUGCGCUGCCCACAGGGGCAUGGCGCAGGUUCUGGGGGCAAGCACGCCGCCUACAGCCAUGGCAUUCUGGGGGCAUGGUGAGCGUUCUGGGAGCAGGGCACGCCACCUGAAGGGCAGGGCACCCAGCGCAGGCAGGGGGGCAGCCGUGAUGGCACCUUACCAGGAUUGUGCUGCCGGGGGUGGUGCACUUCCCGUGCACUCCUCUUCCUCCACCAGUGGUGGUAACUAUUUAUCUACUUGCACUGGUGUACUUUCGAACUGCUAGGUUGACAGGAGCUGGGACAGAGCACUGGGAGCUCAGUCUGUUGCGGGGAUUCGAACCGCUGACCUUCCAACCAGCAAGCCCAAGAGGCUCUGUGGUUUAGACCACAGCGCCACCCGUGUCCCGUGAAGUUUGUCUGGGGAUAGCCAAAAUAGGCCUUUUUCUUUCACAUCCACCUGUUGCUCCUGAGAAUAGAGUUUGCCCUAAGAGGUUUGAUUGGCAACAAGGAAUGCGGAAAACCCAGAAAUUGUACGUGUGACAAGCCAAGCCCAAGUCCAGCUAAAUCUAGUUUUAAGAGUAGAAGGGAGGUGUCCACAUACUGGCAUACCAUCCAUCUUUCUCCGAUGCAAAUCCAGGACCAACUUCAUCAGCUUGUGUCAACUGGUUGCUUUGAGCUAUUGGCUGCUUCGUUUUUGGUCCAGAAUGCUACUACUUUAAUUUCCUCCCUAUUCUAUUCUUCCUUCCCCCUUUCUCAAUCAUCCACAUCCUUCUCUCUCCUCCUCCUCCUGCAGAGCCAAUUACCCUGUCUGACUUCUGCAUCCAUAAACAAAGCCAAUAUCCAUUUCCUAAUAGCAAGGAUUCAUAAUUAAAGCAAUGCCCCUCUGAAAAACGUUUCAUAACAGCCAAUUAAGUUUUAAUGAAGGAAGGAGUCUCACAAAAUGGGGAUGGCUGUUGGGUGGGGUGUCUGUAUGUGUAAGUGCCAGAAAACUUUGUUGUUUAGUCGUUUAGUCAUGUCCGACUCUUCAUGACCCCAUGGACCAGAGCACGCCAGGCACCUCCGUCGUCCACUGCCUCCCACAGUUUGGUCAAACUCAUGCUGGUAGCUUCGAGAACACUGUCCAACCAUCUCAUCCUCUGUCGUCCCCUUCUCCUUGUGCCCUCCAUCUUUCCCAACAUCAGGGUCUUUUCCAGGGAGUCUUCUCUUCUCAUGAGAUGGCCAAAGUAUUGGAGCCUCAGCUUCAGGAUCUGUCCUUCCAGUGAGCACUCAGGGCUGAUUUCCUUGAGAAUGGAUAGGUUUGAUCUUCUUGCAGUCCAUGGGACUCUCAAGAGUCUCCUCCAGCACCAUAAUUCAAAAGCAUCAAUUCUUCGGCGAUCAGCCUUCUUUAUGGUCCAGCUCUCACUUC